AUUGAACGCUGGCGGCAGGCCUAACACAUGCAAGUCGAGCGACCGGCGGACGGGUGAGUAAUGUCUGGGAAACUGCCUGAUGGAGGGGGAUAACUACUGGAAACGGUAGCUAAUCCCGCAUACCAUCAGAUGUGCCCAGGUGGGAUUAGCUAGUAGGUGGGGUAACGGCUCACGUAGGCGACGAUCCCUAGCUGGUCUGAGAGGAUGACCAGCCACACUGGAACUGAGACACGGUCCAGACUCCUACGGGAGGCAGCAGUGGGGAAUAUUGGACAAUGGGCGCAAGCCUGAGGCAGCCAUGCCGCGUGUGUGAAGAAGGCCUUCGGGUUGUAAAGCACUUUAAGCGGGGAGGCGUUACCCGCAGAAGAAGCACCGGCUAACUCCGUGCCAGCAGCCGCGGUAAUAC
rnacentral:rRNA from 1 species